rnacentral:rRNA from 1 species
UACAGAGGUCUCAAGCGUUGUUCGGAUUCAUUGGGCGUAAAGGGUGCGUAGGCGGCGCGGUAAGUCGGGUGUGAAAUCUUGGAGCUUAACUCCGAAACUGCAUUCGAUACUGCCGUGCUUGAGGACUGGAGAGGAGACUGGAAUUUACGGUGUAGCGGUGAAAUGCGCAGAUAAUCGGGAGGAACACCAAUGGCGAAGGCAGCUCGCUGGGACGGUAUUGACGCUGAGACGCGAAAGCGUGGGGAGCAAACAGG